rnacentral:rRNA from 1 species
GUGGAUAGCGGAGAAAUUCCAAUCGAACUCGGAGAUAGCUGGUUCUCCUCGAAAUAGCUUUAGGGCUAGCCUUGAGGGAAGCAUAUGGGGGUAGAGCACUGAAUGAGGUAGGGGCCUAACCAGGUUACCAAACUCUAUCAAACUCCGAAUACCAUAUGUUAAUACUCAGGAGUCAGACUGCGGGAGCUAAGUUCCGUGGUCAAAAGGAAACAGUCCAGAUCGUCAAUUAAGGUCCCAAAGAUAUAGCUAAGUGGAAAACGAUGUGAUUUUGCAUAAACAACCAGGAUGUUGGCUCAGAAGCAGCCAUUCAUUCAAAGAGUGCGUAAUAGCUCACUGGUCGAGUGAAGUUGCGCGGAAAAUUACCGGGGCUAAGCUAUACACCGAAAUUGCGGAUUUACAUUUGAAAGAUAAUGUAAGUGGUAGAGGAGCAUUCUGUAGUAGGAAGAAGCAUGACCGUAAGGACAUGUGGACGAGCAGAAGAGAGAAUGCUGGAAUAAGUAGCGAGAGCAUGGUGAGAAUCCAUCCCGUCGAAAAGUCUAAGGUUUCCUGGGGAAGGUUCGUCCGCCUAGGGUAAGUCGGGACCUAAGGUGAGGCCGAAAGGCGUAUCUGAUGGAUAGCAGGUUGAAAUUCCUGCACCACAUAUAUACUUAAAAGAUACAAGGGACGCAGAAGUGGAAGAUAACCAUGGAAGAGGAAAAACAUGGCUCGCAAGAGGGAGUGAAAAUUAAAGUAACGAAGUAUCAAGAAGCACGCUGACGAGAAAAGCUUGUAGAUAUUGUAUGUAAGUGCCCGUACCGCAAACCGACACAGGUAGAUGAGGAGAGGAUCCUAAGACGAGCGGGAGAAGCAUUGUUAAGGAACUCGGCAAA